rnacentral:rRNA from 1 species
AUUGAACGCUGGCGGCAGGCCUAACACAUGCAAGUCGAACGAGUGGCGGACGGGUGAGUAAUGUCUGGGAAACUGCCUGAUGGAGGGGGAUAACUACUGGAAACGGUAGCUAAUACCGCAUACCCUCGGAUGUGCCCAGAUGGGAUUAGAUAGUAGGUGGGUGAAAGGCUAACCUAGGCGACGAUCCCUAGCUGGUCUGAGAGGAUGUCCAGCCACACUGUAACUGCGACAAGGUCCAGACUCCGACGUGAGGCAGCAGGGGGGAAUAUUUGACAAUGGGCGCAAGCCUGAUGCAGCCAUGCCGCGUGUAUGAAGAAGGCCUUCGGGUUGUAAAGUACUUUCAGCUGGGAGGCGUUACCCGCAGAAGAAGCACCGGCUAACUCCGUGCCAGCAGCCGCGGUAAUAC